AUCGAGCUGCGACAUUGGUGACUGCCAAUAGUGUUUUUAGAUCUACAAUCAUCCUGUAUAUGGGAACCACAAAUGCUCAAGGUGGCAGUAAACCGGGCAAGUACCCGGAAACUUAAAGCUAGAGCCAAGGUACCCACUUGAAUAUAUGCAGGUCAAAAACUGAGGUAAAACGGUGUUGCGGUCAGUCU
rnacentral:other from 1 species